AAUGCACGUAUUAUUCAGGAUAUAUGUGUUCGAAUGUGUGUGGUUGUUUGAGCGGAUCUGUGCAGGUACUUGAGAGGCAUCCAAAGCUAAAAUGGGGAGAUUGUAGAUGCAAAGAUCAUAUGGACGUCUGAUACAUACGUAAGUACAUCAGCGAAUGGAGCAGAGUCUGCAACAGAGAAGUCUACGUGCGGAUGAACACGUCAAGAUGAAGAUUGCGACUUGAAGAAUGGAUUGCGGACCAAGGCGAAGUUAAUGUGAAGACAUCUUGGGAAGCAAGCUUGAAGAGAUUCACCUUGGAGAAGGGAGAUCUCACGAUGGGAAGUUCUUAAAAACUUUGGAGAGGUUUUUAG
rnacentral:lncRNA from 1 species